rnacentral:rRNA from 1 species
CUCAGGCCGACCUCCCACCCUUUGUCUAUUGAACCCUUGUUGCUUCGGCGGGCCCGUCGUUAUACGGCCGCCGGAGGACCGACUCCAGGUCCUCUGGCCCGCGCCCGCCGGUAGCCAAAAUCACCAAACUCUUGAAUAAUCGUGUCUAUGAUGUCUGAGUACUUUUAUUAAAAUUAAGCAAAACUUUCAACAACGGAUCUCUUGGUUCUGGCAUCGAUGAAGAACGCAGCGAAAUGCGAUAAGUAAUGCGAAUUGCAGAAUUCCAGUGAGUCAUCGAAUCUUUGAACGCACAUUGCGCCCUUUGGUAUUCCGAAGGGCAUGCCUGUUCGAGCGUCAUUAUCACCCCUCAAGCCCUCCGGCUUGGUGUUGGACGGUCUGGUCGAGCUGCUCGACCCCUCCCAAAGACAAUGACGGCGGCCUGGUUGGACCCCCGGUACAUGGAGCUUCUUGAUUGAGCACGUAUCGGUUUCAAGGCGUCCCCGGGACCCGGUCUCACUCUCUCCCCUCGCGGGAGGGAACCCCCCUUUUUUCUAAGGUUGACCUCGGAUCAGGUAGGAAUACCCGCUGAACUUAAGCAUAUCAAUAAGCGGAGGAAAAAGAAAAGGG